GCGCCACCAGGGAAGCCCAGGGACAUCUUCUGAAAGAAGGGUCUUUGUGGAAUGAGUGAAGGAUCUGAGAUGAAGUCAUCCUGGAUGAGGAUGGAGGAAAGUGCUUGGAGCCAUGCCAGUGACAGCACGCAUGCCGAGUUGCAGGCCACAUGGGAUGGUCGGGUGGUCCUGGUCUGGGUGCUCUUCUGGAAGUUUCCAUUUACCUACCUGAGCUACCCCUCCGCUCCUGGACCCCACUGCCUGGGGAGAACUUACAACAGCAGGUACAGCCGGCACGGAGUUGCUUAGCGACUCCCCCGUGGACACCAUGGACACUGCUGAGAUGAGAUGAGAACCAGGAGAGGCUGCUGGUGUCUGAACCUCUGCCCGGGCCCGUCUAGAGCAACGAGGUGCACUAUGUGCGGGCCUACGACCAUGAUGUGUGGACAGGCACUCAUGCCUGCCGCAUGGCCUCCAGCCCACCAUGGACCCUCCAGUCCUGCUGUGGACACCACCAUCUAGUCAUGGACUCCCGCUCCUGCUGUGGACACCCCCAUUCCAUUAACCCCCAAGAGACCUGCUGAAUAGGGGUGAGAACUCCACUGAGAAGAAGAGACCAGGGAUGUGCAUGUGCCUUUGAGGAAAUCAUUGCUCAGAAGACUGCAGCAUCUAUCAGCAGUCUUCUCCGUGAUCUCUUGACCUUUGCUCUUCCUCUUUUCAUCUGGUAUCUUGCCAGAUCGUUCAUGGAGAAAUUAGGUCCUAUCUGGCAAGAGCAGAAUCGUCUUCCCAACACAUGAGAAAAGAACAGGCAUGGGCCCACACCCAUCUUAUCCUUCCCUGCCUAACCGGCCCCAUCAGGUCAGGAAGAUGUGUCCCUCCUCCUGUCAGAAGCCAAAUCCCAGAUAAAGAACUUAGAUGUAAAGGAAACCAGAAUAUUGUUUUGAGCUAUGGACACUUUAAAAAAAAACCAACAACAGCAAAAACAAAUGAUCAAAUUUCCCAAAAUAUGGAUGUUACAGAAAAACCCGAACGAACUUUUGGGCCAACCCAAUAGGUGCAAAGAAGGGCGCGGGGACCUUUCUGCUCUUUUUUCCCCAAAGCAGGAGAGAACAUAUCCUCCCCCCCAACCCCCACUCCUGCCGCCAUGGAAGACGUCCUCCCUCUGCUGGAAGGAGAGCGACAUUGUUACCGUCAAGGGAAGAAAGUGGAGAAUGAGAGAAUUCUGUACAAAUGGAGUUUGUUAAACGUAAUUCUCAUACUCCUUCACUUCCCCACACAGUGUACUUCCUUUUCCACAAUCGCCUCUCUUUGUUCAACACAACAGAAAAGCAUUUAGGUUUUGCCACUUC